AUUGAACGCUGGCGGCAGGCCUAACACAUGCAAGUCGAGCGGUAGAGAGAAGCUUGCUUCUCUUGAGAGCGGCGGACGGGUGAGUAAUGCCUAGGAAUCUGACUGGUAGUGGGGGAUAACGUUCGGAUACGGACGCUAAUACCGCAUACGUCCUACGGGAGAAAGCAGGGGACCUUCGGGCCUUGCGCUAUCAGAUGAGCCUAGGUCUGAUUAGCUAGUUGGUGGGGUAAUGGCUCACCAAGGCGACGAUCCGUAACUGGUCUGAGAGGAUGAUCAGUCACACUGGAACUGAGACACGGUCCAGACUCCUACGGGAGGCAGCAGUGGGGAAUAUUGGACAAUGGGCGAAAGCCUGAUCCAGCCAUGCCACGUGUGUGAAGAAGGUCUUCGGAUUGUAAAGCACUUUAAGUUGGGAGGAAGGGCAGUAAAUUAAUACUUUGCUGUUUUGACGUUACCGACAGAAUAAGCACCGGCUAACUCUGUGCCAGCAGCCGCCGUAA
rnacentral:rRNA from 1 species